GUAGUCCACGCCGUAAACGGUGGGUACUAGGUGUGGGUUUCCUUCCUUGGGAUCCGUGCCGUAGCUAACGCAUUAAGUACCCCGCCUGGGGAGUACGGCCGCAAGGCUAAAACUCAAAGAAAUUGACGGGGGCCCGCACAAGCGGCGGAGCAUGUGGAUUAAUUCGAUGCAACGCGAAGAACCUUACCUGGGUUUGACAUGCACAGGACGACUGCAGAGAUGUGGUUUCCCUUGUGGCCUGUGUGCAGGUGGUGCAUGGCUGUCGUCAGCUCGUGUCGUGAGAUGUUGGGUUAAGUCCCGCAACGAGCGCAACCCUUGUCCUAUGUUGCCAGCGGGUUAUGCCGGGGACUCGUAGGAGACUGCCGGGGUCAACUCGGAGGAAGGUGGGGAUGACGUCAAGUCAUCAUGCCCCUUAUGUCCAGGGCUUCACACAUGCUACAAUGGCCGGUACAAAGGGCUGCGAUGCCGUGAGGUGGAGCGAAUCCUUUCAAAGCCGGUCUCAGUUCGGAUCGGGGUCUGCAACUCGACUCCGUGAAGUCGGAGUCGCUAGUAAUCGCAGAUCAGCAACGCUGCGGUGAAUA
rnacentral:rRNA from 1 species